AAACAGUGACGUCUUUUCAACAAAUACUGAUAUGAAGUAAGUAUAAAAGGCAGAAAGGUUUCUUUCACACCUCAAGAAGGUGUCUAACCAAGUUACCAAGAUGUCAGUCUUGCCACUCUUUUUCCUUGCUGUAAUUUCUUUUAAUGGGGCUUACUCCCUCAAAUGCUAUGCUUGUUUUGACAAAAAAGAAUGCGACUCUCCUUCUGAAGUUACUUGCGAAGAAAAUGAAACUCACUGUGUAGCUAUUAAUACUGAUGGCAGCAGUCAUUAUUUUUUUGUUACAUCAAGGAACUGUGCUACUGAAGAACUUGCGGAUGAUGUUUGUAAUGGUAUUGUUGAAGUUAAUGAAGGCAAGUGUUAUAAAUGCAACGAGGAUUUAUGUAAUGAAAAACUUCCUGAACUGGAGUGACGCGCAGUCAAUAGUUCAUAAAAUAAAACAUGUAUAAAACAGAAA